rnacentral:rRNA from 1 species
GGCAGGCUUAACACAUGCAAGUCGAACGAGGUUAGAAAGCUUGCUUUUGAUACCUAGUGGCGGACGGGUGAGUAAUGCUUAGGAAUCUGCCUAGUAGUGGGGGAUAACUUGGGGAAACUCAAGCUAAUACCGCAUACGACCUACGGGUGAAAGGGGGCGCAAGCUCUCGCUAUUAGAUGAGCCUAAGUCGGAUUAGCUAGUUGGUGGGGUAAAGGCCUACCAAGGCGACGAUCUGUAGCUGGUCUGAGAGGAUGAUCAGCCACACUGGGACUGAGACACGGCCCAGACUCCUACGGGAGGCAGCAGUGGGGAAUAUUGGACAAUGGGCGAAAGCCUGAUCCAGCCAUGCCGCGUGUGUGAAGAAGGCCUUUUGGUUGUAAAGCACUUUAAGUGGGGAGGAAAAGUUAAUGGUUAAUACCCAUUAGCCCUGACGUUACCCACAGAAUAAGC